rnacentral:lncRNA from 1 species
GGUAAGUGUGAAAUAAGAUCAUUUAAUUUAUCAUAAUAUGAAGCUUUUAUUAAGUUUACUAAAAAUAUUUUCACAAAAUCUUGGUUUGGAUUUUAUAUUUAAAUUGAGUCAAUACAACUUUAGUUUAAUUUGGAAUUUUUUGGACCAAGUAUACAUUUAUUUAAGUUAAAUUAUAAGGAAAAAGAUUUCAAACCUUCGAGCCAAGUAAUUAAAUUUUUCUCAAGCUUCAUAGUGGAUGAAGGUUCAAACCAAAAACGCUCCAAUGGUCAAAUCUAUCACUCAAAUUAGGUAUAUAAAAAUAACUUCAAAACAUUGAUAAACCAUUUAGAGAAAAUACAACGAUAAUAAAUUAACAUAAGGUUGUAUGGUAUAAUAUUAAGAAAAACCACUGUUUUAAUAACCGGACCGGUCGGUCCAAUCGUCGACUAGUCACAUUUUCGGUCCGGUUUACUCUAUUAAACCGUUUGAGUAUUAGAUCGGUCAUGAACCAACUAAACCAACGGUCGGACCGGUGACCUGGUGGAACCGGACGAUUCGCUGGGCCUUGUCUUAUUAUGACAAAGCCCACACCCACCCCAACCAUUUUGUGGGCCGAGUCUUGAGCCCACAAGAUGGGGUGAUGCCUUUGUCCUCAAUGAGGAUAGCUUUGUGGGAUUGCUAAAUCCACCCAAGAGGAUUUGAACCUUGGACCUCAAGUUCUAUAACCAACCUAGGACACCACUCAGCUACACGCCUUUUGUUAUCUAAUAUGCCAAACAAAAC